rfam:Salmo salar isolate Sally breed double haploid chromosome ssa09, whole genome shotgun sequence.
UGCAUUCACUACUGUAAGUCGCUCUGGAUAAGAGCAUCUGCUAAAUGUUCAAAU